AGAGAAGCAAGACUGUGAAGAGGAGCCAAACUCAAAAACCGGUCCCAGUUCGGAUUGUAGGCUGCAACUCGCCUACAUGAAGUCGGAGUUGCUAGUAAUCGCGGAUCAGAAUGCCGCGGUGAAUGCGUUCCCGGGUCUUGUACACACCGCCCGUCACACCAUGGGAGUCGGAAAUGCCCGAAGUCAGUGACCCAACCGCAAGGAGGGAGCUGCCGAAGGCAGGUCCGGUAACUGGGGUGAAGUCGUAACAAGGUAAC
rnacentral:rRNA from 1 species